AUACGGAGGGUGCAAGCGUUAUUCGGAAUCACUGGGCGUAAAGCGCGCGCAGGCGGCUAUUUAAGUUGGAUGUGAAAGCCUACGGCUCAACCGUAGAACUGCAUCCAAAACUAUUUAGCUAGAGUGUGGGAGAGGAAGAUGGAAUUAGUUGUGUAGGGGUAAAAUCCGUAGAGAUAACUAGGAAUACCAAAAGCGAAGGCAAUCUUCUGGAACACUACUGACGCUGAGGCGCGAAAGCGUGGGGAGCAAACAGGAUUAGAAACCCGAGUAGUCC
rnacentral:rRNA from 1 species